rnacentral:rRNA from 1 species
UACGGAGGGUGCGAGCGUUGUCCGGAAUCACUGGGCGUAAAGGGCGCGUAGGCGGCUUCUCAAGCGUGUGGUGAAAGUCCGGGGCUCAACUCCGAGUCGGCCGUGCGAACUGGGCUCACUGGAGCAUAGUAGAGGCAGGUGGAAUUCCGGGUGUAGCGGUGGAAUGCGUAGAGAUCCGGAAGAACACCGGUGGCGAAGGCGGCCUGCUGGGCUAUGGCUGACACUGAGGCGCGACAGCGUGGGGAGCAAACAGG